UACGGAGGGGCUAGCGUUGUUCGGAAUUACUGGGCGUAAAGCGCGCGUAGGCGGACCUGCAAGUCGGGGGUGAAAGCCCGAGGCUCAACCUCGGAACUGCCUUCGAUACUGCGGGUCUCGAGUCCGGGAGAGGUGAGUGGAAUUCCUAGUGUAGAAGGUGAAUUCGUAGAUAUUAGGAAGAACACCAGUGGCGAAGGCGGCU
rnacentral:rRNA from 1 species